rnacentral:rRNA from 1 species
AUUGAACGCUGGCGGCAGGCCUAACACAUGCAAGUCGAACGGUAACAGGAAGCAGCUUGCUGCUUUGCUGACGAGUGGCGGACGGGUGAGAAAUGUCCGGGAAACUGUCUGAUGGAGGGGGAUAACUACUGGAAACGGUAGCUAAUACCGCAUAACGUCGCAAGACCAAAGAGGGGGACCUUAGGGCCUCUUGCCAUCUGAUGUGCCCAGAUGGGAUUAGCUAGUAGGUGGGGUAACGGCUCACCUAGGCGACGAUCCCUAGCUGGUCUGAGAGGAUGACCAGCCACACUGGAACUGAGACACGGUCCAGACUCCUACGGGAGGCAGCAGUGGGGAAUAUUGCACAAUGGGCGCAAGCCUGAUGCAGCCAUGCCGCGUGUAUGAAGAAGGCCUUCGGGUUGUAAAGUACUUUCAGCGGGGAGGAAGGGAGUAAAGUUAAUACCUUUGCUCAUUGACGUUACCCGCAGAAGAAGCACCGGCUAACUCCGUG